AGUCGAACGGCAGCACGGACUUCGGUCUGGUGGCGAGUGGCGAACGGGUGAGUAAUGUAUCGGAACGUGCCUAGCGGGGGAUAACUACGCGAAAGCGUAGCCAAUACCGCAUACGCCCCCGGGGGAAAGCGGGGACCCUUCGGGCCUCGCACUAUUAGGAGCGGCCGAUAUCGGAUUAGCUAGUUAGUGGGUAACGGCUCACCAAGGCGACGAUCCGUAGCUGGUUUGAGAGGACGACCAGCCACACUGGGACUGAGACACGGCCCAGAGCCACGGGAGGCAGCAGUGGGGAAUUUUGGACAAUGGGAAACCCUGAUCCAGCCAUCCCGCGUGUGCGAUGAAGGAAGGCCUUCGGGUUGUAAAGCACUUUUGCAGGAAAGAAACGGUACGGGAUAAUACCCCGUGCAACUGACGGUACCUGCAGAAUAAGCACCGGCUAACUACGUGCCAGCAGCCGCGGUAAUACGUAGGGUGCAAGCGUUAAUCGGAAUUACUGGGCGUAAAGCGUGCGCAGGCGGUUCGGAAAGAAAGAUGUGAAAUCCCAGAGCUUAACUUUGGAACUGCAUUUUUAACUACCGAGCUAGAGUGUGUCAGAGGGGGUGGAAUUCCGCGUGUAGCAGUGAAAUGCGUAGAUAUGCGGAGGAACACCGAUGGCGAAGGCAAGUUUCCUGAUAACACUGACGCUCAUGCACGAAAGCGUGGGGAGCAAACAGGAUUAGAUACCCCCGGGUAGUCCACGCCCUAAACGAUGUCAACUAGCUGUUGGGGCCUUCGGGCCUUGGUAGCGCAGCUAACGCGUGAAGUUGACCGCCUGGGGAGUACGGUCGCAAGAUUAAACUCAAAGGAAUUGGACGGGGACCCGCACAAGCGGUGGAUGAUGAUUAAUUCGAUGCAACGCGAAAAAACCUUACCUACCCUUGACAUGUCUGGAAUCCCGAAGAGAUUUGGGAGUGCUCGCAAGAGAAACCGGAACACAGGUGCUGCAUGGCUAUCGUCAGCUCGUGUCGUGAGAUGUUGGGUUAAGUCCCGCAACGAGCGCAACCCUUGUCAUUAGUUGCUACGAAAGGGCACUCUAAUGAGACUGCCGGUGACAAACCGGAGGAAGGUGGGGAUGACGUCAAGUCCUCAUGGCCCUUAUGGGUAGGGCUUCACACGUCAUACAAUGGUCGGGACAGAGGGUCGCCAACCCGCGAGGGGGAGCCAAUCCCAGAAACCCGAUCGUAGUCCGGAUCGCAGUCUGCAACUCGACUGCGUGAAGUCGGAAUCGCUAGUAAUCGCGGAUCAGCAUGUCGCGGUGAAUACGUUCCCGGUCUUGUACACACCGCCCGUCACACCAUGGGAGUGGGUUUUACCAGAAGUAGUUAGCCUAACCGUAAGGAGGGCGAUUACCACGGUAGGAUUCAUGACUGGGGUGAAGUCGUAACAAGGUAA
rnacentral:rRNA from 1 species